GCGCCCCCCCCGCCGCCCGGCAGCAGCAGCGCCUCAGACCCGCCACCCAUCGCUGGAUGUUCCUCCACUUUACCCACCGUAUCAAACAACUUUUACCAGUAAAUAUCGGUUUAUUCCUGAAACCAGAAGCCCUAAACAUACCUUUGUUUAUAAGGUCAGUUGGCAUUUUGUCUCUCUCAUUCCCCAUUCCCUCCCAGUACAACCCAGCAGGUGGUUGAAAGGUACCAAGUUCUCUUUCUAGUUUUCCUGCUCUGCAUCUCUGGGAACUGGAGCCCGCAGGACCUAGAGCCUUCUGUUGGUAAUGUAGAUUCCAGUUUACAAAUUAUUCUUUUACCAUUUUAAAUCCUGCUUUUAAGGACAGAGGUGUUCCCACCUGCCCACCACGGGAACUGGUAGAAACCCCUAAAUUGCUCCUCCUCACCAAAGCCUGUGGGUAGGUCUCACUAGCAUCUUCAGGCUUGGGGCUGAAAAAAUAAUUGAUCCCAAAAUAUACACUAAAAACUGCCAUUUCUGGUUUACUGUGAGCAGGACCGGGGGAGGGAAGGGCGGGAAAGGAGUUUGAAACUUACUUUUCUCCCCCUUUUUUCCUAGAAAGCAGAUGUGACAUGGGGAGGAGGGAGAGAAUGUGAACAUGGCCCUUCCUAAAGUCAUUGUAAACUCCUCCUCCAAGGCUGGGAAAAAGGGCAAGUGAAAGAUCUGAUCCUUAAAAGGACAUCACUGGUUGUCUGAGACCCCAAAAGCAGCUGGCGAUUUUUAAGGACUCAAAUUGCUUUUGGUUUAUCCCAAGACAAAUUGACUUGGGAAUGUUGAAGCCUCCUUUUUUCCCCACUUGUAUUUGCCACCCAAACACUGCACAUUUUGGUAAUACCCCAGAAACAGAGAACCUGAUGAGGGAUAGAAAAUGAGUUUACUGCACAGUCCCUGCCAAAUUUUUUCUCCCAAGCAAACAAAAUAAAAAAAUUUUAAAAAACCCUCAACCCAAAGCCCAUUCCUGACCCUCCCCAAAAAAAAACUCCUAAAAAAGCAAGUCCAAGAGAAUCUCAAAUGCCCAGCCUGGUUCUGUCCUCCAUGGUUGACAGGGGUGUUUUUGGCAUAGCUGCAGCCCAACCAUGUCCCUUUAAGGAGCACCGUGGCUCGUUUCCUCCUCACCAACCCCAAGCUGAGGUUCCUGAGAGCUGAUCAGAGCUCCUGCAGCCUUAGGUGGAGUCCAGAGUGAGGGGAGCCCUUCCAGCUGUGCACUUUGAGCUGAAAACUACCUUUCCUCCCCUUUUGCAGCCUGGGUGGUUCUGAUUGCUGGCAGUUCUGUAAUACAACCUUAAUCUGAGCAGUUGAGGCUGGUCCUACCUUAUCUUCAGACGUCUUGCGGAGGACUCCUGUUACCAGUUUGGUACUCAAAAGCUCCACCCCACCACCAGAAGUCACUUUUUGUUUUUUCCAAAGGCAGUGAUAGCUCACCCUCUCUAGCUCUAAUGGAAAACCUGAUAAUUGCAAUGCAACUUUCUAAUAAAAUUGUUCAUAUAUUCAUAAUUCCGUUGCAAUCCCAAAUUGGAGAAGAGAUCUGUUAAAGUGCACUGGUGUACCAAGCCUCAGAACCACUGCUUUCUCCAGCUCAUAGGAUGCUUUUCCAGACUGUGGAUACGUGUAUGUGUACUGCUGUGUUGAUAAGUAAAUGCCAACGAUGGAGUUCGUUGCUUUUAUACAUCCCAAAGAGAAGUUCUCCACCGUUCCCUGUCUGUUUUCUGACCGAACAGGCAUGUGUUUGUGAACAGUGUUCACGCCAGCUCUGCCACCCCACCCUCACAUCAGCUCACACCAAUGCCAGGAUGGGAGGAGUUGCCUGCGUACCUUCCCCAAAACACCCCGGGCCGCAGUGGCAUCGUCAGGGAGCAGUUCAAACCUGUGUCCUUUGGGCUUUGUGUAAAGCAAAUGCAGAACAAGAAAAAUCGAGAUGUUAAAUCCAUUAGAAAACCAAUUCCUUAUUGUACAGUAGUAUGGAGAUCUCUAGUCAACCUGCCAUUAAUAAUAGAUUCUUAUUUUUUGAAUGAUCUAUUUAAAAGAACAGCAAGCAUUGUAUUUGCUAGUAAAUCUGAAGUGUUUACAUGGAAUUACUAAAUAAAUUAUUUGAUCUAAGA